GAAACUCGGGCUAAUACCGCAUACGUUCUCGGCGUCAUGGCGCCGAGAGGAAAGCUGGCCUAUUCUUGAAAGCUGGCACUCCUAGAGGGGCCCGCGGUCGAUUAGCUUGUUGGUGGGGUAACGGCCUACCAAGGCGACGAUCGAUAGCCGGCCUGAGAGGGCGAUCGGCCACACUGGGACUGAGACACGGCCCAGACUCCUACGGGAGGCAGCAGUGGGGAAUAUUGGACAAUGGGCGCAAGCCUGAUCCAGCAACGCCGCGUGGAGGACGAAGGCCUUCGGGUCGUAAACUCCUGUCAGUUGAGACGAAAAGCCGUCGGUCAAUAGCCGGCGGUCCUGACGGUACCAGCAGAGGAAGCCCCGGCUAACUCCGUGCCAGCAGCCGCGGUAAUACGGAGGGGGCUAGCGUUAUUCGGAAUUAUUGGGCGUAAAGGGCGCGCAGGCGGCUUGGUAGGUCAAAGGUGAAAUCCCUCAGCUCAACUGAGGAACUGCCUUUGAACCACCUCGCUAGAGGCUGGGA
rnacentral:rRNA from 1 species